rnacentral:lncRNA from 1 species
CCCCUUGCACUUCAUGCAUAUAAUAACUCAUAAUCUGUGCAUCAUAUGUAAAAACUUUUAACAUGUAAAAUGCUUAGAAUUUUGUGUAGUUUAAUAAUAUGCCAAUUUCAUCCGUUUUUAAAAUGUUUAACUUGCUGUUUAUUUAAAUUUGCUCAAAUGCCAUGAUUAAAAUGAUUUAUUUCAUAACUAAAUAACCGUAACUCGGAAUUAAAUAAACUUUAUAUGUAUUUGGGGUGGAAAAAUGCCUAGUUCAACAUGGUCCACUUUAUUUUCCUGUUUAACAACAAUAAAAUAUGUUUUAGGGCAGAACAGUACCAAAUUUGAAUAUUGCUCAUGAGGAUUUUCCGGAAUUGUUGUUUAUUCUUCCGGCCUCAUUUAAACUUGCUUAAAUAGUUAGUUUCCAUUAUGCUUCACCCCUUGCCAUGUUUAACAACAUUUAAUAUUGUUGAGUAGCUCAUAACCGAGAGAGAACUAAAUAAUUGUCGUGGUGUUUCGUCAAUAUGCAACUCGUUGCAUAUUGAGCUCCACUUAAUUUGUAGGGUUGCUUGUGCUCUUUGCCAUGCCAUGCCUCAUUAAACCGGACAUGCAUCAUACUUGAUUGCGCAUCAUGCCAUGUUUAUGUGAUGUUUGUUUACUAUGUUGUGUGCUUCUUUUCUGGUGUUGCUUGUUCGGGUUGGUUCCGAUAACGUCGAGUUGUGAGGAUUCGUUCGUCUACGUCCGUUUGUCUUCUUCAUGGACUCGUUCUUCUUCCUUGCGGGAUUUCAGGCAAGAUGAUCAUACCCUCGAAAUCAUUACUAUCUUUGCUAUGCUAGUUUGCUCGUUCUUUUGCCAUGCCAAUGCUACGAUGCCUACCAUUUGCUUGUCAGCCUCCCAAAUUGCCGUGUCAAACCUCUAACCCACCAUGUCCUAGCAAACCGUUGUUUGGCUAUGUUACCGCUUUGCUCAGCCCCUCUUAUAGCGUUGUUAGUUGCAGGUGAAGAUUGAAGUUUGUUCCUUGUUGGAACAUGGAGAUGUUGUUCCUUGUUGGAACAUGUUUACUUGUUGGGAUAUCACAAUAUAUCUUAUUUAAUUAAUGCAUCUAUAUACUUGGUAAAGGGUGGAAGGCUCGGCCUUAUGCCUGGUGUUUUGUUCCACUCUUGCCGCCCUAGUUUCCGUCAUAUCGGUGUUAUGUUCCCGGAUUUUGCGUCCCUUAUGCGGUUGGGCUAUAAUGGGAACCCCUUGACAGUUCGCCUUAAGUAAAGCUCUUCCAGCAAUGCCCAACAUUGGUUUUACCAUUCGCCACCUAGCGUUUUCUUUCCCUUGGGUCGGCCAGCCCGAGGGUCAUCUUUAUUUUAACCCCCCCGGGCCAGUGCUCCUCUGAGUGUUGGUCCGAACUGAGCUGCCUGCGGGGCCACCUCGGGGAAACUUGAGGGUUGGUUUUACUCGUAGCUAGUCUCAUCUGAGUGUGCCCUGAGAAAGAGAUAUGUGCAGCUCCUAUCGGGAUUUGUCGGCACAUUCGGGCGGUGUUGCUGGUUUAGUUUUACCCUGUCGAAAUGUCUUGUUGUACCGGGAUACCGAGUCUGAUCGGAAUGUCUCGGGUGGAGGUCUAUUCCUUCAUUGACCGUGAGAGCUUGUGAUGGGCUAAGUUGGGACACCCCUGCAGGGAUUUGAACUUUCGAAAGCCGUGCCCGCGGUUAUGGGCAGAUGGGAAUUUGUUAACGUCCGGUUGUAGAAAACCCGAAGUUGACCUUAAUUAAAAUACAUCAACCGCGUGUGUAACCGUGAUGGUCUCUUUCCGGCGGAAUCCGGGAAGUGAACACGGUGUUGGAGUUAUGCUUGAUGUAGGUAGUCCAGGAUCACUUCUUGAUCAUACCUUUAUCGACCGUGCUUUGCCUUCUCUUCUCGCUCUCAUUUGCGUAUGUUAGCCACCAUAUAUGCUAGUCGCUUGCUGCAGCUCCACCUUAUUACCCCAGCCUUCCUAUAAGCUUAAAUAGUCUUGAUCUCGCGGGUGCGAGAUUGCUGAGUCCCUGUGGCUCACAGAUACUUCCAAAACCAGUUUGCAGGUGCCUAUGUUACCGAGCAGGUGACGCAACCAAGCUCAAGGAGGAGCUCGAUGAAGAUCUUGUCCUUUGUGUUGUUUCCGUUCUAGUUGAUCAGUAGUGGAGCCCAGUUGGGGUCGAUCGGGGACCUUUGUCGCAUUUGGGGUUCUUCUUUUAUUUUGGUUCCGUAGUCGGACCUUGAUUGUAUCUGGUUGAUGUAAUGCUUUUAUUCAUGUAAUUGUGUGAAGUGGCGAUUGUAAGCCAACUAUGUAUCUCUUUCCUUUAUAUAUUACAUGGGUUGUG